UAAAGCACAUUGAUUUCCACAUGGUAUGUACGUGGUCGAUUGUCGCUAUUUAUUAUAAUACUCGCUCCACAUUACAUGUUAGAAAAUAACAGCAUUUUAUGUAGUAGUUUAUAUAAAAAAUAUUGCAAUUUAAAUUAGUUUCCGACCCGUUGAACUGGGACUUACUGGCUUCGUUGGAGUAAUAUUAAUACAGUACUCACAGUGAUUGACCAUAUGGGGGAUAUUUCCGAGAAAGACGAACGAAGUUUUUGAAUAAGGAGUAUUUCGGAGAAUAGUCGAACUAUAAUCAGAAUAAUUACUAAAGUGUAUUGUAGAGAGAAACUGAUGACUACUACUACUUAAGUACAGAGUAAAAUUGGCAGACGGUUUUAUUUGCUGUGUUGACGUUCUACUCAUUUUAACCACCAAGACGUGUGGUAUCAUUGUUACUGUACAUGUGUGAAGUCAAAAUGCAUCACUCACCAUGAACAUACCACUGGAUAUAAGUGUCGACAGCUGAGUUUGAUGACUGGAGUAGAAACAGGAAACAUUGUGAAAUUACAGCAAGCGGUCUGCUUGUCAACACAUAUUCACCCAAACCUCCAUUUAAUCCUCCAGAUAGUCUACAAAUGUUUAAGGGAGUUACAGACAGACUUCCUAUAUCAGGACUCGGAUGCUGGUAUUGGCAGACGAACGUAGAUUGUACGGUGCUGGAAGAAGCGAAAUCAAACUUUGUUGCAGUACAAGUUGGUGUCUGUGUAGAAGGGCAUUGCGAUGAUGAGAUACAGAUUGCGAAAAACAGACACGCGUGGUGUGUUUGUGUACACAGCUGUACCAUUCACAACAGUAUGUGUCUAGUGGUUGUAUCACGUGGAACGUAUAUGUGUCACUGUCCUGUAACAGUGUUUAAACCAAACACAAGUUUAAACGUCACACUGGGGUUACUUCUUGACAUAGAGAACUCCACCCUCCACGUGGUGAACAUCAACACCAAGUCACUGGUUCACUCCAUACCAAACAUCGACACAUCACAGCCACUGAUGCCCGUGUUUGGUGUGCACAGUCCUACACAAUUUCAGGUCAAAGUGAGAUUAUCGCCCGCCACGGAUCUGUCUGUGGAUCCAACCUUGCUGAUGGUACUCUCCAGUUUAGUUCAGCCGUGAUAAUCUACCUUAGUUAAUCAAUCCCUCAGCUUUACAAUUGAACUAAAUUUACUGGCACCGGUGGUAUCGUGGUUAAACCACCGGACUUAAGGCUGAUAGGUACAGGGUUCGCAGCCAGGUACCGCCUCCCACCCAGAGCGAGUUUUAACGACUCAAUGGGUAGGUGUAAGACAACUUUACCCUCUGAUCUCUCACUAGACACUAACAACUAACCCACUGUCCUGAACAAACAGCCCAGAUAGCUGAAGUGUGUGCCCAGGACAGCGUGUUUGACGUUUAAUUGGAUAUAAGCAGGGCAAUACGUUAAAAUGAAAAGAAGUAAAUUUUCCCAUAAUUAAAAUUAACGGAUUAUAUCCUGAAAAAAACAUAUGAAAAUCACUGGCAUUAUUAGCAUUUGUUGUACUUAAUGCUAUUACAACUGGCAUUUCUGAUUAGCAUUAGCAUUUGUUGUACUUAAUGUUAUUACAACUGGCAUUUCUGAUUAGCAUUAGCAUUUGUUGUACUUAAUGCUAUUACAACUGGCAUUUCUGAUUAGCAUUAGCAUUUGUUGUACUUAAUGUUAUUACAACUGGCAUUUCUGAUUAGCAUUAGCAUUUGCUGUACUUAUUACAAUUAACAUAUAUAUUAAACAUGGGUCAGUACAGUCUUCGGAAAUUAAAGUAUUUGUUUUUCUUGUAAAAAGAUAAUGUUAUGUCUGUAUAAAAUAUGUAUGUGUAAUACUAUUUUUAUAACUAGAGAAACACAACACGAAAUCGUCCUAAUGAAAACACUCGUGUUUCUGAUUAGUUAAUUGCAGAUUUGUUUUGACGAUUAUAUAAAGGUUAAAGAUAGCAGACGUCACAGCAGGCGUGGAUCUGCAGAGAAGAUAGCGGAAGUCAGAAAGCUUGCCGCCAUCUUUGUUUAUUUUGGUGUUAUUUUUCUUUUUUAGGGUGGGUUUUUCCAUGAUGGGAUUGCUCAACAUACAUUCGUCUGGAUUAUCUUUGUUUUAUACUUUUGUGUUCUUCUAUGUUUGAUGUAACAGUUAAUAAUGAUGAUUAUGAUUAGGAUGAUGGUGAUAAUGAUGUUGUUGAUGAUGAUGAUGAUGAUGAUGAUAAUGAUGACGAUGGUAAAUAAUGAAUGAAUCAAUGUUGACAUA
rnacentral:misc_RNA from 1 species